rnacentral:rRNA from 1 species
UACAGAGGGUGCGAGCGUUAAUCGGAAUUACUGGGCGUAAAGCGCACGUAGGCGGCUUUGCAAGUCGGGUGUGAAAUCCCCGGGCUCAACCUGGGAACUGCAUCCGAGACUGCAUUGCUCGAGUAUGGGAGAGGGAAGUGGAAUUUCCGGUGUAGCGGUGAAAUGCGUAGAUAUCGGAAGGAACAUCAGUGGCGAAGGCGACUUCCUGGACCAAUACUGACGCUCAGGUGCGAAAGCGUGGGGAGCGAACAGG